rnacentral:rRNA from 1 species
ACUCCUACGGGAGGCAGCAGUAGGGAAUCUUCCGCAAUGGACGAAAGUCUGACGGAGCAACGCCGCGUGAGUGAUGAAGGCUUUCGGGUCGUAAAACUCUGUUGUUAGGGAAGAACAAGUGCUAGUUGAAUAAGCUGGCACCUUGACGGUACCUAACCAGAAAGCCACGGCUAACUACGUGCCAGCAGCCGCGGUAAUAC